rnacentral:rRNA from 1 species
AAAGCCUGACGGAGCAAUACCGCGUGAGGGAGGAAAGCCUUCGGGUUGUAAACCUCUUUUCUCAGGGAAUAAGAACUGAAGGUACUUGAGGAAUCAGCAUCGGCUAACUCCGUGCCAGCAGCCGCGGUAAUACGGAGGAUGCAAGCGUUAUCCGGAAUGAUUGGGCGUAAAGCGUCCGCAGGUGGCAAUGUAAGUCUGCUGUUAAAGUGCAAAGCUUAACUUUGUAAAAGCAGUGGAAACUACACAGCUAGAGUGCGGUAGGGGCAGAGGGAAUUAAGAGAGUAGCGGUGAAAUGCGUAGAUACUCUUAAGAACACCAGUGGCGGAA